CCCGGACAUACCAACACAUGCGGAAACAUGGCUGGUUGCGACUUCAUUACCGGCAAUUCAUAAAUGUCACAUAAAAACGUCAAGCGAUAGGAAGCAGGGAGCAGCAGGGGCCGCACACUGUUUGGCCAAUGUUGUGUCUAUCAUCGCAGGGCUGCUGAGGUUAUCCGGGACGUCGUCCGGUGGUCGGCACGUGGGGGUCAGCGGCUCACCUCGUGAGGUUGCGUGCAGGGGGUGUCUGACAUUGGGCUUGAAUACAGGAAUUACCAUCGCCAGCUAGCGGCCCAGCAUGCACGCGACGGCGCUUUCGGUCAACAUGUUGCUCGGCCUUCCCCGAGUAGAUAAGCAUUUCCAAGAGUCAGCAGGAAGUGUGUGGUGCACAUCUCAUCGGUUAAACGCAGUUCACUUUCACACGCAAGAUCUGCAAACAAUGGAGGGUUGGGGGUCGAAGGUCACGAGAGUUGCCCGCUAAUAUUUUAAGGGAUGCUCUUGUUGUUGCUAAAAAUGACCUGCAGGAUUUUCAUGCACAUAGUAGGAUUGUCCAUUUGUCCGCGCCAUUGCUUUGAAGGGAUUCUGUAGGGCAGGGGUGUACAAACGUUUUCCAGCGAGGGUUGCAUGCGCAAGUAUUGAAGGGUGGGGGGAGCACUUUGCUACAUUUUAUACAUUAAAGAUGUAAUGUAAUGUAACGAAUGUAAUGUAUAUGUAAUAUGCUAAGCUAUCUGAAGAAAACAGCUUCGUUUUGUGCUUCUAGGUGACAACGCUACUGAGUGCAAUAUCGACUGAUAUACUGGACAAUAUGCCGAGGGCCAAUAAAAACAG